AUAUUGGGAUGACACGUUGGCGGCGUGGAUUAGGCAUGCCAAGUCGAGCGAGAAGGUUCCUUCGGGAACUGGACAGCGGCGAAAGGGAGAGUAACGCGUAGAUAUCUGCCUCGAGGCCCGGGAUAGCGGCGGGAAACUGCCGGUAAUACCGGAUAACAUCUCCGGAUCAAAGGUGUGAUUCCGCCUCGAGAUGAGUCUGCGUCCUAUUAAUGCUUGUUGGUGUGGUAACGGCGCACCAAGGCGAAGAUGGGUACCGGGUGUGAGAGCAUGGCCCGGCUCACUGGGACUGAGACACUGCCCAGACACCUACGGGUGGCUGCAGUCGAGAAUCUUCGGCAAUGGGCGAAAGCCUGACCGAGCGACGCCGCGUGCGGGAUGAAGGCCCUCGGGUUGUAAACCGCUGUCAGUAGGGAGCAAAUCUCUUGGGGUUAUCCCCUUGAGUUGAGCGAUCUUCAGAGGAAGUACGGGCUAAGUUCGUGCCAGCAGCCGCGGUAGACGAAACCGUACGAACGUUAUUCGGAAUCACUGGGCUUAAAGAGUCCGUAGGC
rnacentral:rRNA from 1 species